GUGGAGAUGACUCAGUGGUCAAGAGCGCUGGUUGUUCUUCCAGAGGACCUGGGUUCGAUUCCCAGCACCUACA
rnacentral:tRNA from 1 species